GUAGGGUGCGAGCGUUAAUCGGAAUUACUGGGCGUAAAGUGUGCGCAGGUGGCCGCGCAUGUCGAGUGUGAAAUCCCCGGGCUUAACUUGGGAAUUGCGCUCGAAACUACGUGGCUCGAGUGUGGCAGAGGAAGGUGGAAUUCCACGUGUAGCGGUGAAAUGCGUAGAGAUGUGGAGGAACACCGAUGGCGAAGGCAGCCUUCUGGGCCAACACUGACGCUCAUGCACGAAAGCGUGGGGAGCAAACAGGAUUAGAUACCCUGGUAGUCCACGCCCUAAACGAUGAUGACUAGUUGUUGGGGGAGUUAAAUCCCUUAGUAACGCAGCUAACGCGUGAAGUCAUCCGCCUGGGGAGUACGGUCGCAAGAUUAAA
rnacentral:rRNA from 1 species